rnacentral:tRNA from 1 species
GAGGGUAUGGCUCAGUGGUAGAGUGCAUGCCUAGCAUGCAUCAGGUCCUGGGUUCAACCUCCAGUACCUCCC